GAGAAAGUCGUGGCCUCCUGGUAGUUUGAAUUACGUUUAUGGGGCAUGUGUUCCAGGUUUCCUUUGGCCAAUCAUUCUGAUUUGUCUGGUUCUGAGUCCAUAUUUGGUACUUCUCAGGAUGCAACCCACUCCAGUGUUCUUGCCUAGAGAAUCCCAGGGACGGGGGAUCCUGGUGGCCUACCGUGGGAGUCGGACACGACUGAAGCGACUUUUAGCAGCAGCAGGAUUCUCUCGUGUGUGUGUGUGUGUGUGUGUGUGUGUGUACUUCUUUCAGCCAAGAUGGAUUCCACCCAAGAGGCCUAUGGGUAGAUUAGGUGUCACUCCCCUUUUGAUGUCCAAGGAGGUUUCUACUGGUGAAGGUUUCCUUGACUUCAAGAAUGAGAAAUAUGUGGUCUCUUAUCUUCUACCUGGGCAGGGCCCAGCCUCCCCUCUGGAUUGUCCUGCUACUGAUAUUUUGGAAUUUCUGUCCACAGGGAAUGAACUCAAAUUGCUUUCCCUGGGGAGGGUGUGGGGGGAGUGGAUCUACCUCCUGUCUUAGUAGUGGGGCAGCUGCAAGAAGAGUAGAUCCCUGCACCAAAGCUCCAAAGCCUUCAAGUUAAAGAGACCGUAACUGGAUUCAGUCCUAUAUUCAGCACAAAAGUCUCAACACCACCUUUCUCUCUCAAGGCUGUGACCUUGAAACAGCUCCCACUGUGGGAAAGUAGGCCCAGCGAACAUUCCAAAGAUAGAGGGUGGGGGAGAAGCCUGCGACUACUUUGGGUCCAGCUGGAAGGUCAAUCAGGGGUCAUGCCCUCUCCAUUCCUCCUCCAACACCACUCCAGACCAGUAUAGAGGCAGAAACUCUGGAAUCAGCAGUCUGUGCUUUAACAGGCCUUCUGGGUGAUUCUGAUGCCUGCUGAAGUUUUCAAACACUGUACCAAAGUGAUAAAUGGACAUUCUCAUCUAUCUUAGACAUCUAUACACAGAGACAAGAGGAAUUAUGUCUGGACUGGGAAAUUCUUCAUGGAGACAGUGACAUUUUAUAGGAAGCCCCAGGCUAGAUAAGCGAAAAGCAAUUCAGGCAAAGUACUGUGUACCCAAAGGCACACAGGCAUGGAUUAGCCUGGCCUUUGAAGGGAUCUACCAGUCGUUCUGUGGGAUGGUCCCAGGCAAGGCAGAGAGAUGAGCAUGCAGAGGCAGGCAGGGGCCUUGAAUAUCACGUUUCAAGCGGCGAGGUAACACGGUACCCAUUUCCCCUCCCCACGGCUGUCCAGACUGGCCUGAGUCAGACUUUGGUGGACCCAUUUCCCGUCCCCGCCUGCCUUUCUCCUAGCUCUUCUCCCAAUUCUCUCACCUCCUCCCUUCCCCUGGGGGUGGGACGGUCGGGUUUCCAGGCCAACCCCACCCCCGCUCUCCGCCCCCAUCCGGCCAACUCGCUGACGUCAGCCAGGCCGGGCGUGUCUGGCUUGCGGUUUUGGAGGCUGGCCUGGCCCGGCCUCCCGGCUUUGGGGGAAAGGCCAGGGUGAGGGUCUGUGGGCAGGGUGCCGCGCAGGCGCACCUGCUGAAGGACGCAGUGGGGCUUUCAGGGCUGAAGAGAAAGUGCCUACCUCUGGAGACACCCUGUUUCUGAGGGAGAGGUCUAUGAUGUCAGUGUCGGUUGCUCAAGACCCAGGCUGAAGUCACUCAGCACCACAGCCUGGGGAAUUGGCUCCCAGACUGCGCCCUCUUCUCCCUGACCUACCGAGCUGGUGACUCCCAGCGGGUCUGUUCUCCUAAGCCCUCAACACAGGAUGCUUGGAGGUGAUGAAGGGUGAUAACAGCUUCUUAACAAUCGGUACUGACUGUUUACCGAGCACUUAGACUGCUGGCAGUGAGUCACCUACUCCUUGUAGUUCUCAACUUUAUGCCAACCAGUGCCGGUUUCUUAUAAUACUUUUAAGUGUCACUCAGCAUUCAUAGAUAAUGUAACCAACUUACAUGGCAGUUUCCUAAUAUUAAACCAUAAAAUGCCACAGUUAGUGUAAGUGAAAGUGAAAGUGUUGCUUAUUUGUGUCCAACCCUUUGCAACCCCAUGGACUAUAGCCCAUCAGCCCCUAUGUGUGCCAUGGAUUUCUCCAGGCAAGAGUACUGGAGUGGGGUGCCAUUGCCUUCUCCAUGGGCCCUAGCUAUUACAUUAGAAAGAGGCUCUUUCCUUUCCCUGGAAGCAGCCUACCAGGGACCGUUCCCUCCUGUCCAGAUUCUUCUACUCCUUAUUGAACUAUUGUACAGGGAGAAACACAAAACAGUUCCAAGAAGGCUUGACACUGAAUAUGAUCUGUAUAUGCAUUCUUCCCUUUCAUUCAUGCCCCUUUUGGCAGAGAAUAGAACUUUUAUCCUAAUAGCCUUUAUGCCCACCUUCCUUACUCCUGUGUUGGGGGCAGCAUGUAUCUGGGUAAUAAAAACACAUUUCCCAACCUUCCUUGCAAAUGGGAAUGGCUAAUGAGAAGUCAGUGGAGGUGACUGGGUGGCGUUUUGAGAAAGCUAUUCAAAGGAGUAAACUUAGCAAGCUCUCCUUUUCACUUUCCCCCUAUUCUUCCUUUUUUGUCCCUGGGACAUGAAUUUGAGGGGUGGGGCUCUGACAGCCAUUUUUCAUGCAUGAUGUGAUCUUGAAGAUUGAUGUCAUGUACCAAGGAUGGCAGAGCAGAUGACUGAUUUCAGCUUCUGAGACCUUCUACAGUCCCCAUACUAGCUUGACCUGCCUGAAGACAGUUUAUCACGUAAGAGGAAAAUAAGUGCCUAUCUUAUACGCAUGCCUGCAUGCUCAGUCGUGUUCUACUUUUUGCAGCCCUAUGGAUUGUAGCCAGCCAAGCUCCUAUGUCUGUAGGAUUUUCCAGCAAGAAUACUGGAGUAUAUUGCCAUUCCCUCCUCCAAGGGAUCUUCCUGACCCAGGGAUUGAACACAAGUCUCCUGUAUCUCCUGCAUUGGCAGGCGGAUUCUUUAUCACUGAGCCACCUGGGAAUACAUCUUAUAUAGGCCAUUGCUAUUUUGAAUCUCUUACCAGUGACUGGAUUUCCCUGGUGGCUCAGAUGGCAAAGUGUCUGCCUACAAUGCGGGAGACCCAGGUUCAAUCCCUGGGUCGGGAAGAUCCCCUGGAGAAGGAAAUAGCAACCCACUCCAGUACUCUUGCCUAGAGAAUCCCAUGGAUGGAGGAGCCAGGCGGGCUACAGUCCAUGGGGUCACAAAAAGUCGGACACGACUGAGCGACUUCACUUUCUUUCACUUUCACCAGUGACUGGACAAAAUUCUUCAUUGGUGUAACUCUGAAAGCCCUCUCAUAAUUCAAUUUUUCUCCACUAAAUAGUCAAGUCAUCCAUUCAUUUAUUCACUCAAACACUCUCUGGUUGAAAAUAACCCCAUCUUCUAGAAUCAGAUGAGAUUUAUGUAGGUAUAAAUGUGAGCAUGUGUGUGCUCAGUCGUGUCCGACUCUUAGCGACCCUAUGGACUUUAGCCCAUCAGGCUCCUCUGUCUGUGGGAUUCUCCAGGCAAGAAUACUGAAGUGGAUUGGCAUUUUCUCCUUCAGGGGAUCUUCCUGACCCAGGGAUUGAGCUCUCAUCUCCUGUGUCUUCCGAAUUGCAGGUGGAUUCUUUACCACUGAACCAACUGGGAAUACACCAUAUGGAUAUAAAAGGGCAUUGUAAAUACCAAAGCAUUAAACAUAGUAAAUAUUUAUUUAAUAUUGUGAUUUGUUGUUGCUCAAUUAGGGAGAUUCUAGUGUAUAGCAGUUUGGAGACUGCUGCUGCUGCUAAGACACUUCAGUGGUGUCCGACUCUAUGCGACCCCACAGACGGCAGCCCACCAGGCUCCACCAUCCCUGGGAUUCUCCAGGCAAGAACACUGGAGUGGGUUGCCAUUUCCUUCUCCAAUGCAUGAAAGUGAAAAGUGAAAGUGAAGUCGCUCAGUUGUGUCCGACCCUCAGCGACCCCAUGGACUGCAGCCUACCAGACUCCUCCAUCCAUGGGAUUUUCCAGGCAGGAGUACUGGAGUAGGGUGUCAUUGCCUUCUCCGAAUUUGGAGACUGCUACACACUAAUUCUAGUGUGUGGCAAUUUACUAGAGGGAAACUCCCAUUGUUAAGUGAUGGGAAACUCCCAUUAAGUGGUGUGAAAUUCAGUGCUAUUUCAUGUUGUAAAUAAAAGAAGCAGUUCAGUUGAGUCGCUCACUCGUGUCAAUAAAAGAAGCAGUUCAGUUGAGUCGCUCACUCGUGUCCGACUCUUUGCGACCCCAUGGACUGCAGCACGCCAGGCUUCCCUGUCAAUCACCAACUCCUGGAACUUGCUCAAACUCAUGUCCAUCAAGUCACUGAUGCCAUCUAAUCAUUUCAUCUUCUGCCGUCCCCUUCUCCUCCUGCCUUUAAUCUUUCCCAAUAUCAGGGUCUUUUCCAAUGAGUCAGUUCUUCCCAUCAGGUGGCCAAAGUCUUGGAGCUUCAGCUUCAGCGUCAGUCCUUCCAAUGAAUAUUCAGGAUUGAUUUCCUUUAGGAUUACUGGUUUGAUCUCCCCACAGUCCAAGUCAAGAAUCUUCUCCAAUACCACAUUUCAAAAGCAUCAAUUCUUCGGUGCUCAGCUUUUUUUAUGGUCCAGUUCUCACAUCCAUAUAUGACUACUGGAAAAACCAUAGCUUUGACUAGAUGGACCUUUGUUGGAAAAGCAAUGUCUCUGCUUUUUAAUAUGCUGUCUAGGUUGGUCAUAGCUUUUCUUCCAAGGAGCAAGUGUCUUUUAAUUUCAUGGCUGCAGUCACCAUCUGCAGUGAUUUUGGAGCCCAAAAAAAUAAAGUCUCUCACUGUUUCCACUGUUUCCCCAUCUAUUUGCCAUGAAGUGAUGAGACCAGAUGCCAUGAUCUUCAUUUUUUGAAUGUUCAGUUUUAAGCCAACUCUUUCACUCUCCUCUUUCACGUUCAUCAAGAGGCUCUUCAGUUCCUCUUCGCUUUCUGCUAAGAUAUUUCUCCAAGAAAUCUUGAUUCCAGCUUGUGCUUCAUCCAGCCCAGCAUUUCGCAUGAUGUACUCUGCACUUAAGUUAAAUAUACAGCCUUGACAUAUUCCUUUUUCUAUUUGGAACCAGUCUGUUGUUCCAUACCAGUUCUAAGUGUUGCUUCUUGACCUGCAUACAGAUUUCUCAGGAGGCAGGUAAGGUGGUCUAGUAUUCUGACCUCUUUAAGAAUUUUUCAGUUUGUUGUGAUCCACACAGUCAAAGGAUUUGGCAUAGUCAAUAAAACAGAAGUAGAUGUUUUUCUGGAAUUCUCUUGCUUUUUCUAUGAUCCAUGGAAUUCUCCAGGCCAGAAUACUGGAGUGGGUAGCCUUUCCCUUCUCAAGGGGAUCUUCCCAACCCAGGAAUCAAACCCAGGACUCCUGCAUUGCAGGCAGAUUCUUUACCAGCUGAGCCACCAGGGAAGUCCAUAAAAAAUGCAAGGGGAAACCUAAUGCAAGUGCUUCUCACACCUUAAAUCACAUAAGAAAUACUUGAGAAUCUUAUUAAAAUGCGGAUUCAGACUCAGAGGGGCUUGGGGUGAGGCAUGAGAUUCUGCAUUUCUCAUAAGCUCCUGAUGAGGCCACCUACUGCCCUGGACCUUUGAAUAGCAGGGACCUGGGAGAUCUUUGGGCUUCCCAGGUGGCACUAAUGGUAAAAAACAAAACAAAACAAAACAAAAACCUGUGUGCCAAUGCGGGAGAUGCAAGAUACAUGGGUUUGAUCCCUGGAUUGGGAAGAUACCCUGGAGGAGGGCAUGGCAACCCACUCCAGUGUUCUUGCCUGGAGAAUCCCAUGGACACAGAGUCUCAAAGAGUCGGACACGACAGAAGCAACUUAGCACGCACGCAGGAGAUCUUUCUCCAUGGUGGGGAAAGAAAUGAUGAGAGAGGAGAAAGGAAAAAUGAGAGCAGAGAAGACAGCAUUUCAGAAAAUGGGGAACAGGUUCUCUUAGAGGCUUUAUUUUCAAGCAGAUUGGUAACUUAAUAAAAGCUAGGAACUGUGCAGACCUUAUUUCACUGAAGUCUUAAAACCAUGUAUAAGAGGAAUUCUAAUUCUUAGUCUGCAGUUGAGAGGAAGCUCAGAGAAAUUAAGGGAUGUGAUCAAAGCCACAAAGCAGGUAGUGGCAGGGAUGGGAUUGCCACAGAAGUUUUUCAGAGGCCAGAGCCCAAGUUUCUUUCCAGGCUCUGUGAUAAAAUUCCAGGGUUGGGGAGCGGGUUUCUUCCUUUUGCUAAAUUCUUUCUCCUCACCCAGAGAAGAGGGGAGGAAGACACUGCUGCCCUAGGGAACCAGUCCCCCAGUAUUUGUACAUUUGGCUUGGCUCUAAUCUAUCUAAAAGGCUUUUGUGGCAGCUAAGCUGUGUAUUUUUUGAACACUGGGGUCUUGGUAGUGGGAAGGGCAGUGGGGUGAGGGUCCGGUAGGAUGUUUAUAAGUUCUGCCAGACAGUUUCCAUUUCAUAAGCCCGGUCUCCUUUCUGGAGGCUGCCAUGAUCCAGAGCAGCAGGAAUAAGUCCUGGGAGGAGGAGGCCACAGAGGUGAGAGCAAACCCACCUCUGGUUCUGACCCAUGGGACCCUUGCUUUCUUUCUGGAUAUCUUUGAGGGAUGAAUAAACCUGACAACUUAGCUGAGCAAUCAGCAAGCCAGCAAAUGCCAGGCCCCAGUAAGGAGCUUUGUGUCCUCCCAAGAGAGGAGGUAAAUGGGCAGUUUGUGUCGCCAUAAAGGUCCCACCAUGCAGUGUGGAACUUCUGUUAUAGGCUGCCCCUCACACUGCUGUCCCCCAGGACUUGGGCAUAAAUCCCAGCCAUUUCCUUCUCCAGUUUCCCACAGUGACUAGCCUUUGUCUAAUUUCACCACCGUCGGGGGGGCUGGGGAGGGUUUCCUGCACAAUAAAUCUUUCACCAGCACAGUGGUUUUAUCAUUAGAGAGGACAAUGCUAAAAGAAGAACGGGACUUCCCUGGUGGUGCAGUGGAUAAGAAUCUGUGUGCCAGUGCUGGGGACACAGGUUCAAUCCCUGAUCUGGGAAGAUUUCCACAUGCCGAGAAGCAACUAAGCCCAUGUGCGGAAACUACUGAAGCCCAACGCCCUAGGCUGUGCUCCGCAACAAGAGAAGCCAACACAGAGAGAAACCCAAGCGCCGCAAUGAAGCAUGAUAGCCCUUGCUUGCUGUAGCUAGAGAAAGCCUGCACAAAGCAAUGAAGACCCAACACAGCCGAAUAAAUUAAUAAAAUUAAAAAAAAAAAAGGGGGAUGUAAGUGGCAAAUGUAUGAUGAAAAGGAAGGGCUCAAGGUGACAAGAAAGGGAUAAGCCUGGGAUCACAGAGCAGAGUUGAGGAGGUGUGGAUGGAGAGUCAUGGAGGCAUGCCAGGAACAUCCACCUAAGGUCUGAUUGCAGAAGAAUGUGGAAGAGCUUCCAGUGAGAAGAGAAACCAGGACAUGUAGUGUGGGCUCCUCUCCCCUUGAAGACAAGCAGUUGUCUGCUUGGACAUUAGCUCCACGGAUGUGCCAAGGAUGUUGGAUGCACUGGUGUCAGGUCUGGAAUCCAGCCUUCUGGAUGCAGAGGGGACAGUCUUCUCACUGAAGGACACCCAGAGGCACCCUAGUGCGGAGUGUCUGAAGGGGAAGCAUCUACUCUUGCUGAGCCCAAACCAUCCUCCAGCCUUAUUCCUUUACAGAUGUUUCCUCCUUCCAGGCUCCCUCUCAAUGCUCAUUUCUGACACAGCAUCAGCAUCACCAGAGCGGUGAAGGUCAGUUAGGCCGCAACACUGAGGGGUAGUGGAGAUCCCAGAUUACCCUCCUGCUGGCUGGUCUAGUCCUAGAAACAGAGGAAGGCCAGGAAAACCCUCCCUGGAGCCCCUGGCCUCUGCUGUCUCCUGGUCACCACUAUCUUUGGGGCCAGGCUACUCUACAUGGUUGACAGUGCUUGCUGCCUCCACUUUCUUGAUUCUCAUUCUUCCAGCACUCUACAGGGUAGCUCUGUCCCACCUUACCCCAACCCACUGCAACUGCUCCUACCAAUGGCAACAGCAAUCUGAGGCCAAAUCCAGGGGCCACUUCCCAGCUCUUAAUUUUUCUUUGACUUCUCAUUUACUUGAUUAAAAUCAUUUCUGCUUGAGAAAUCUCAACCCUAGUGCUUCCUAAUUAGGGAUCCAUGAGUCCCUAGAUUGUCUUUAGGAAGAAACAAUGUGCAGUCCCUACAAUUUUUACACAAAGUUUGCACACAAUGGCAUUUUUUCUAGGGAAGAUGGUCCAGGGCAUUCAUUGAAUUCUCAAAAAUGAUCAAUGAUCUGCCAAAAUGUUAAGAACCAGUGGCCUUGAAAUCUGUAGUGGUUAGAACUAGGUUCUGCCGGGAGUGAUCCAAGAUAGCAAAGAUCGAUUUGAUCUUCUUGCAAACAGAGUCAGUUAUCAGAGUUGGAGGAGUGACUCUUCCUAGCUCUCCCAACAUCAGGUGUAAAAGUCCAAGGUGGUGCUCCAAACAGCAUGUUGGAGGGAGGGACAAAGAAGAACAUAAAGGACAUGCAUCUGCUGUCUCUCAAAGAGUUCCAGGAGCGACUGUAUGAUCCUUUCACUUUUGUAUUAUUGGCCCAAACUUAAUUACAUGAGUCAUAUCUAUCUGUAGAGAGGCUGGGAAAUGUUAUUCUGAGCAGUCUCUUGCCAUGGAUGAAGGGGAGAAAAGAUAUCGAGAGGCAGAUAUCAGCCCCUGUCAGAGCUUCUGUGACAUCGCCAGUGUUGAUACUGUGGACUGAUUCACACAUUAAAGCUGGGAAGCCACACUACCUAGACUCCUUUAAAGCUGGCAUUCCAAAUGUGAUUUAGGAAUUGCCAAUUAAAUGGACUUGCACAAGACUUGAACCUGGAACCAAGCUAAGUGGGGGGAAGGAGCCAAUGAGGUAUCAAUUUUGCAGAAGUGGAUGAUGGCAAACUUGUUUCACGGUCACCAUCUUCCUGGGUCAGCAGCUUCCUGUAGUGGCUUCUUUCUUGAUCUUGAAGACAGAGGCAUGGUGAUCUUGAGGGCUUACAGUCAUCUCUGGAAGCUCCAUUCAAGUCUACUCUUCCAGGCCCUCCACCAGCAACAUUGUGAGCUGAAGCAUCUCAAAUUUCAAUGUUCAUAUUGGCGUGAGGGUACAGCUAAAGAGUAGAGUCUGAUUCAGUAGAUCUGGAGUGAGAUCUCAGAUUCUGCAUUCUUAACAAGCUCCUAUGUAAUGUCUGAUGGUUAGGAUGAAUUUUUUUUUUUUUUUUUUUUUUUUGGCUGCAUGAGUUUUAACUCCUGACUAUGGAUUGAAACCGGGCCCUCAGCAGUGAAAGCGAAGAAUCCUAACCAUUGGACUGCCAGGGAACUAGGAUGGACUUUUAGUAGCUCAGUCCGAACGUGUCCUCUGAUAACCUACAUCUGAUCAUAAAUUCCUUUCUUCUUUGUCUGCUGAAUGAUGGUUUCUGAUUCUUCCUUGUUUCUUUUAGAGGAUCUUCUUGCUCUGUUUGUCCCUUUAUAUUGGUAUUUCCCAAAACCCUUAUGGCAGAAAGUGAAGAGGCGCUAAAAGCCUCUUGAUGAAAGUGAAAGAGGAGAGCGAAAAAGUUGGCUUAAAGCUCAACAUUCAGAAAACGAAGAUCAUGGCAUCUGGUCCCACCAUUUCCUGGGAAAUAGAUGGGGAAACAGUGGAAACAGUGUCAGACUUUAUUUUUGGGGGCUCCAAAAUCACUGCAGAUGGUGCCUGCAGCCAUGAAAUUAAAAGACGCUUACUCCUUGGAAGAAAAGUUAUGACCAACCUAGAGAGUAUAUUCAAAAGCAGAGACAUUACUUUGCCGACUAAGGUCCGUCUAGUCAAGGCUAUGGUUUUUCCAGUAGUCAUGUAUGGAUGUGAGAGUUGGACUGUGAAGAAGGCUGAGCGCCGAAGAACUGAUGCUUUUGAACUGUGGUGUUGGCGAAGACUCUUGAGAGUCCCUUGGACUACAAGGAGAUCCAACCAGUCCAUUCUGAAGGAGAUCAACCCUGG
ensembl:lncRNA